GGAGAGAUGGCAGAGUGGUUGAUUGCACCGGUCUUGAAAACCGGCAUACCAGCAAUGGUAUCGAGGGUUCGAAUCCCUCUCUCUCCGCCA
rnacentral:tRNA from 1 species